GUCUACAGUCAUAACACCCUGAAUGUGCCCAAUCUGGUGUGAGCUCGGAAGCUAAGCAGGGUCAGGCCUGGUUAGUACUUGGAUGGAAGAGAAACAUAAGGAUGUCAGCAGACC
rnacentral:rRNA from 1 species